UGUUGGCUCCUUCUGGGUGCAGCAUGGGGCCCCGCGGAGCAGGCAGGGAGCCUGCCUUAGCCUUGCUGUGCCGCCGACUGGGAGCCACCCAAGCUCCGGCCGGCGCGGGAAGCUGGCCCGGCACUGCGGGCAGCUGAAGCCCGCCAGGAGGCCGCUCCAGGUGACGUCCAGGCAGGGCCCGCAGAAGUUGUGGCCGCAGGGCGUGGUGACCGGGCUCUCGAAGAGGCUCAGGCAGAUGGAGCAGAUGAUACAGUGCCAUUCCAAUGGGACAUUGUUCAGUUUCUAGUACAACUCAAAGUGAACUUUGUAUGCAUGAUGCCACACCUGACAAGUCAUUCGAGUAUCCAAACCUGCUUGGCAAUAUGUACAACCAACUUCAAGACAGCAAGCAAGUACCAUGGAUUUAUUGUAUUUAACAUAUUUUAAUCUGUCGGGAAAUUUUAUGAAGUUUGAGGUAAUGCUGAAGAAAUGUAUCUGAAAAAUUGUAAUAUAUCGUCUUACAGAUGUUUACCACUGCAGCAGAAAUGACUUUAGAUAUUUACAUACUGCCUUCUGGAGUUACAUAUACUUGCCUGCCGAAGAGGAAAGAAUCUCAAGCUCUAGCUGUUUGUUAUCAGCAUUCCAACUGAUUAUUUUUCCCUCCUUCAAAAAACAACAAAAAUGGUCCUAUGGUGAAGCAUAGCAAAUUUGACAAGCACUGUAUUUCAUAUUGCAUUACAAGGAUAUGCUUGAACACAGCCAGAGCACAUAUUUCUAUUUGAAGAAGUCUUUUGGCCAGUUCUGAAAAAUCUGUUCAAGUAUUAAACAAUUAACUUUAAAAAGUUUUAAAAGAGCUGAAAUUAGUAAUACCAAUAAACCCCAAAUCUUGUAUUGCCACAGUCACUGCGGAUUAAUGUAGUAAUCAGUCAGCUAUAAACCAAGUUUUCUUUGAAACUGCUGCAAAGGUUUAUUUUUAAUAAUUCCAUGAAAUGUCUUAACAACUUCAAACAAAUGUGCCGUGUCUUUCAAUGUUCUUUUGCAUCCAGAAGCUUGGAAUAUUUCCUCACAUUUUAAAUUGUUUGCUCUUAAAUCAGCAGAAUUGUUUGCAUGUGUUUUUCUAAUUACAACACUAAUACUUUGAAUAGUUUUGUAUUUUGUAAUUAUUUUUUAUUUAUAUUGGAAAUAGUCUGCAUGGUAACAGGAGAAGUGGGGGGGAAAUAUACAAUGCACAGAAUUAUAAAAUAUCUAAGACUCCCCCAAAAUCUUGUCUUACCCACUAUAGUAUUAUACAUGCAUUUUUGGAAAAAAUACCUUGUAGUCAGAUACUUCAGGAGUGUAAUUGUCAGUUAAUUCCAAAAGCUGUUAAAAGAAAAAUAUAAAUCAUUAAAAGACAUGAAAAAUUA